rnacentral:rRNA from 1 species
GACAGAGGGGGCGAGCGUUGUCAGGAGUCACUGGGCGUAAAGCGCGCGCAGGCGGUGGCCUAAGUGUCGUGUGAAAGCCCCCGGCUCAACUGGGGGAGGCCACGGCAGAAUGGGUCGCUCAAGCUGCGGAGAGGCCCCUCGAAUUGCCGGUGUAGCGGUGAAAUGCGUAGAGAUCGGCAGGAAGAACAAGGGGGAAGCCAGGGGGGUGGCCGCAUGCUCACGCUGAGGCGCGACAGCGUGGGGAGCAAACCGG